rnacentral:rRNA from 1 species
CCCUUAGAUGUUCUGGGCCGCACACGCGCUACACUGAAGGAGGCAGCGUGUACUCCUGGAUCGAAAGAUUUGGGUAACCCGCGAAUCUCCUUCGUGCUAGGGAUUGAGGUUUGCAAUUAUCCUUCAUGAACGAGGAAUUCCCAGUAAGUGCAAGUCAUAAGCUUGCGCUGACUUCGUCCCUGCCCUUUGUACACACCGCCCGUCGCUACUACCGAUUGAAUGAUUUAGUGAGGACUUCGGACUGGGACCGAUGCGGCUUUCGGGCUGCGUCGGUAUUCUGGAAAGAUGUCCAAACUGUAUCAUUUAGAGGAAGUAAAAGUCGUAACA